CGAUACAGAGAUUAGCAUGACCCCUGCACUAGGAUGACGUGCAAAUUCAUGAAGUGUUCCAUAUUUUC
rnacentral:snRNA from 1 species